UCAGGGUCAAAGGUCAGCAGAAGGAGUCCCGGUCCAGUGGGACAGAGGCAGCCUAAUGUCUGCCGGGCUCCAGAGAGGCUCACCCUCAACCUGGACACCAUUCUGAGGUUAUUGAGACUAGAAAACACAAACGCAGAAACUGUCCUGAAGGUGAGCAGAGGAGACGUCCUUUCUGCUGCGCUGAAGGAGGUCAGGAAACCAGGAUUCUGCUUCAGGUCCAAUCCGGCCGUUUCCUUCAGCGGAGAGGAGACGCUCUGCCAUGACGAAGCUCUCGGAGAGUUCUUCAGGCUGACCCUCCUGGAGCUGCAGCAGAGUUGUGUUUUUGAGGGUCAUCCGGAGCGCUUGUUUUUCACCUAUGACCUCACAGCGCUGGAUGACAGGUUGUAUUACGAAGCGGGCGUUCUGAUUGGCUGGUCGCUGGCUCAUGGAGGACCUGGACCGUGCUGUCUGCACCCGGCCCUC